AUGCAAGUGAUAGCCGGGAAAGGUCAGCCGUGGUGCAGACAGAAGCGUCCAGGACACGACUCUGUCGCUGCUGCACAGCCAGAAGUUAAAACAGCGGGGAUUGCACGGACAGAAACUAGUUUAUUUACUCACCUCGGCUCUGUGCCAUCGAACACGGAAGAAACCACCCGUCCCCUCCUUUCUGAGAUUGUUCCUGUGGCCCGAAAACCAACCAUCAAAAUUGCGGCCCUACUCAGAUGUCUAUACACAUGUCCGCUGCCCAUCACCCUGCAGAUGACACCAACCAGGAUUAUCACAGGACACGACAUUUAUCAGAGGACACGACUGUGGGGAAACAGGAGGGGGAGGCCCAGGGGACUGGCGGGCAGACAGUGGGCAGGGCUGGACCUCGAGAGAGAGGACUAGGGGCAGGGAUCUGACACCUGGGGUGUGUGGAGCCCCGUGCCCACAGCUGCCCCCUCCCGUUUCACUCCCCUCCUGCACUGACCGCUCAGCCCCGGCCGAGAGGAGGAUAGGGCCGAAACGGCAGACGGUUCCUUCACGCAAGCCUGGCCGACACAGGCCGUGUCUCGUCCGCCUGAGCGCCUCGUUUCCACGGCUCAUUCUUCAAAGCCCACCAUGGCGGGAGAAAGUACCUGUGAGGAAGGAGCUCGAACCAUCGGGUCUCAGGGGCCCUGAGGGCUGCAACACAGCAGGGUGGACGCCAGCGAGGACAGGUGAACCAUCGGGUCUCAGGGGCCCUGCGGGCUGCAGCAGGGGGUUGCCGGCAAGGACAGGUUGCACAGGGGCCACGGGAGGGUCCCGCCAAGGCCGGCCAGGUGCCCUGGUGAAGGCGGCGGGCUCCCUUCCUGCCCACGUGGGCCUCCCGGGAAACGCUGUCUUGUAUAACGUACGCCCCACUUUUUCCUAAUCGGAAUGCACAUGUCUGACGGCAAAGUUCCCGCACAGUAAGACCGUGAGUAUGGAAAUGGAGCCCAUCGGCCUCGUAGGGAAGGAGGGACUUUGUCUGCGUGACUCCGUUCCUGGCUCCCCCGGCACCCGGACCAGGCCAUCAGGAAUGAACCGGGCCUUUCAAUUAAACGUGUUCAUGAAGCAUUUCUGGGGACCUCCAGGACCUCUGGGACAGUGACCACCUCCUCCAGACAUGCUUCUAUUUCCCGCCGAGGCACCUCUGCACAGGGACACGAGAGCAGCAACUACGAUUCCCAGAGGCGGGCCUCUCGCCGACACGCUGAUGUCUCCGUGCUCAGAGGAAGUCAUUCCCAGGCAGCAACGACCAGAAGAUAUUCAAAUAACCCCACCAGUGCCACGGAGGAGGGGACUGACGUGCCACAUCACCUCCCGCGAGGGGCCCGGGCACAGGGGGGGAUCUGGCCUCACUCCCAGACGCCGCCCCAUCGUUCCCACAGCCGAGCCCCAGCCCCGCGGCCCCCAGCCCUCCUGGGCCUCCUCGGCCUCCCCGGGCUCUUCUGACGUGAGGACUGGGCCAGGGGCCUAGGGGCCAGGGCGGCUCAUCAGAGCCAGGACCCAGGACCGAGAGGACUCUCUGCCGGGGUCCUCGCCCCUCGCACCUGCAGUGCCAACCUCAUCAGCCUUAGACCCCUGAAAUGGUGUCGAAACAGGGGCAGCCGUGACCUUGGGCACCGACCCCGAAUGCCACGUCUUCGCCCUACGAGCCUGUCACUCACAUCAUAACCCACGAACCAUCCGACGUUAAGGGGGCAAAACCCUGUGAAUCGGGGCCACAGAGUCACCACAAAACACUGAAGAAAGGGGUGCCCAGGUGGCUCAGUAGGUUGAGCGUCCAAAUCUUGAUCUCUGCUCAGGUCGUGAUCCCAGGCAGGGUCAGGGGAUCUCUCUCUCUCUCUCCCCGCUCCCCUGCUCACACACGCUCUCUCUCUCUCUCUUAAAUAAACAUUUUAAAACAUUUUUCUUUCUCUUAGCA
ensembl:lncRNA